UUGUAAUUAAUUUAAUAUUUUGUCAAAUAUUUCAAUAGAGGAGAUAGUGAAGUAACAUAAAAAUUGAAGAAUAAGGAGCAACUCAAAACAUGCCUGCCAUUUCCUAGUAUAAAAUGUCCACAUUUCUAGAUUUUGUUAAAUCAGUGAUUUCAGUCACCCACAUAAUUUUGCAAUUCAUAUUUAGUUUUAAUGUUACAUUAAAACUUACGGACUUAAAAGAGUUGAUGUAUUCCCCUUGAAAAGCUGUGAUUGGAUACAACCUGGAGAAAGGAUUUAUGCCAUGAAGACUCUUGGGCAGCAGUUUUUGUUUUCCAAUGUGCUUAUAUGUUGGAACAUUAAAAAAUGUUUUACGUAUUCAAGUUUUUUUCUUCCAGUUUCCUGAGGAGAAUCCUUGUUUUAUCUGUUAUGUUCAUUUUGUGAUAUGUAGAGCAGAGAAUUGUAAGAAGCAAAUAAGAAAAUUGAUUUUCGUAAGAUAGGGCAAUGUGAACAUCUUGAAAGGAUGGCUCAGCAAGAUGAAAAGGGCAGGGAAAGGCAGGAGAAGACUGGGAAGGAGUGACAAGCAGACUCGUGUCUUGAAAGGAAUAGGAAAGAGGUUUGAGAGAGGUUUGACUGUUGUCCAUGAUAAGUUGGACUUUUGGGACAAAGUUUUUGAUAAAGUAAUAGUAGAUUUCCUAAGCCUCUUAAAAGCCGUUCGAUAAAGUCAGUUUGCUUGUUAAGGUUUUAGAAUAUUAAAUUUGUGUUAUUUUUGACAAACCACACAGUGAAAUAAUACUUCAGGUUAAAGAAAGAAGACCUAAGGAUUUUUUCCUGUAUUUUUGGGAGAUACUUAUAUUUUAUUAAAUAAUAAUAUAAGACUUUGAUUGCAAGCCUAGUAAGAAUGGCAAGAGUACAGUCUAGUUUUCCUGAGACCAUCUCAGACUAGUAAAAGAAUUACUUCAAAUAUUUACUCCAUUAUUCGUAGUAGCAGCAGCAUAGCAUAGUAUAAAAGCAAUUGUAUAUUACAUUUAAUUAAUGACACCUAUUUUAUAUUUUAAUUGUGAUGCGAGUGUUAUUUAUUUGUAGAAGUAUAUAGUUAAGCUGGAUAAUGGACAACAUGUAGAUAUUUUAGAUAAUUAUUUAAAAGAUUUGGGGAUUAUGUCCAAAAUUCACUUCCAGUGACUUUUUACAUUAUUUAAAUAACAUAGACAUGCAUUAUAAAUCACUAGGAAAUCUUUCUGAAAUAAAAUAUAAACUACUAUAUAUGACUCGAGACAGUAUAGCACUCAUUAACUGAAAAUGUGGUUAAUCUAUCUAUGUACUUCAUUUUCCAAGAGUAAAGUAUAUCAUUUUCUCAAGGUAAAACUUUGCAGGAAUGUAUUUGACUCCACACCCCGUUAUGCACCCUGGUUAUCUAGCAUGACACCACUACACUAAUACUGAAACACAGCUAUCAAGAUAUUGCGUCCUAUAGGAAACAGCCCCACUCUUUAUCUUGCAUGCCCCUCUGAUCAGAUCCAAGAGACUGUUAGGUCAGCUAUUGCAAGGAUCUUUUUUCUCUUUUGCAUGUGUCAUAGCUCAGUAGGUAUCAUUAAUGUAUCUAUUUUGUAAUAAAUACUGAAUUCCUUCCAAAUAUCAGGAAGGAAUUCUGGUAGGUCUCAUUAGUAGUUCCAUGAUUAUAUUGAGUUGAAAAUACCAGGGAACAUGCAAUAUUUAAAUAAUUUUUUACAGAGUUUUGAUGAUUAUGAUAAAAUAUUUCAUCAUUUCUAAUAUUAUAUCCUCUCACUCUUGUGCACAGACCCAUCCCAGUAGUUAGCCAAGAACUUACCCUUGGCACCAUAUUCAAUAAAUUCUCACCGUGGAGUCUUUACCCUUGCUUUUUGUUCUUGAUCUUCUCUUAUCUUCUAAACAGAAAUUUUUAUGGCUGUUCUUACUCACUUUGUGCACUCUUUUCAAUCUAGGUUUUGCAUCUCUAUUAUUUGCCUGUUUAAUAGCUUCUAUACUGUAAUUAAAUUAUUUUUGUAUGUAUUCCUUUUAUUCUCUAAUCGACUAUAAAACUCAUAAAAUUAGCAAUAAUGUAUUCUACUUCUUCAUUUUCCAUAAAAUACAGAAGACAGUCACUCAAUAAAUAAUGAACACAUGCUGAAUGUUGCUGGCUAAACUAGAAGUCAUCUCACAUUAUUCACAAACUAUAAUUGUGUAGUGGAGGAAAAAUUACAGCUGUAUUAAUAAACCUUAAGUUCUUCCAUA